rfam:Trichobilharzia regenti genome assembly, scaffold: TRE_scaffold0013834
AUCCAGCUGACGAGUCCCAAAUGGGACGUGAUGUGCAUCCUGGAU